GGACCGCACCCUGGAGCCCUUCCUGUCCUGGGCAACCCGGGCCGGGCACUGCGGAGACGGCCCAGAAACGCCUUGGGAAGGAAUUGCUGCAGAGUCCAAGGCGGUACCCUCGUCUCCGCUGAUCUCUCCGGAUCUUUCGGCCAGUUAAUUUUUAAGAGAAAAAUCUGUCACCAUCAAGGAGUCUCUAGGCCUGCCACUGUGUUCCAGAUUCAGCACGAAGGCUGCCUUCCCACUCCAGUCUCCGGUGCCCUCUCUCCUGCUCUGUGUCUCCCAAACUCUUACACCUCUCCCCUACUGCCUGCUCCCAGAGCUGGAAUCAGACACCAUACCUCCUCUCUCACCAAGCACCCCUCUUUUCACCUGCAGACUGCAGUGCGAUCUCUUCCAAACCUGCUGUCCUCCCCCAUCUUCAGUCCUCCCAGCCAAACUGCAGAGCUAUACCAGAGGCUAAAGACUGAUCAUGGAAGACCAAAGUCUGUGGGUUGCUUACAUUUCAUUUCAUUCCGUAUGUGUCCAGCCACCGACACCCAGUUCUGACCUCCCCCAACCCAGAGCCUAGCUUCCUGCAGAGGAGCCUGAUAUCCACCCACGUGAUGCAACCUGGACCCCCUGCCCUGGUCCUGGCCCCACAUCAACAUUUCUCCUUCCUAAAUAUUCAAAUGGGGAGGGGAACAAGAGAGAGGAAAGGGGAGAAGGAAAAAAGGGAAAAGUAAAAAAAAAAAAAGUGAGAAAAGAUGGAAAAGAAGCUUUGUAAAUUGAGAGAGGAGGAAGGGUUGAAAGGGUAAGAGGAUGAGGAAGAAAAAAACAUUAUGUCAUGUACAGGUACAAAUUCUCUGCGGUGAAUGCGAUUGUUAUGUAUAUGUAAACAUACCAGUAAAAUCUAAUUAAAAAAACACAUCUCUC